rnacentral:tRNA from 1 species
GGAAGGGUCGCAUAGCGGCAUAUUGCAGCGGUCUUGAAAACCGCCGACUGUAACAGGUCCCAGGGUUCGAGUCCCUGUCCUUCCGCCA